AGACACACUUAAUUUAGCCGGCAGGCACACGGAUGCUUAUUUUUAAAAAAAGAACUUGUUUUAUUGCGCUCGAGGUGACCGGGAAGGUGUCCCCGCGGGUCACUCGCUCCAUCUGGUCCUGGAGACGAGAUGCCAGGGCGAGGCCUAACCUGCCUGCUGGCGCCCAACGAAGAUUUUAACGUUUUCUGUUCCCUUCGGGGUGGUUUUACCACGCUUGAGAGGGACGCCUACCGCGGAAGGCCGCGGACCGAGGGCGGCAUCGCGUCCUUGUCUGCUGUCUGGGCACAGCCUAGAGAGGCCGCGGGUCCCCUCCCCGUCCCCCAAGGUCUGGAGUGGGGUUUGACCAGCCUGGGAUAUUAACAAAUAUCGGUGGACUGCAUUUCGGUGAUCAUUCCACAAGCUGAAAUGGCUUCAAAAUCACCUUUAUGAGUAAUAAGUUUAUUCCAGGAAUGUGGCAAAAUGCAAGUCUGAUAGUUUUCGUGUCUUCAUGGAGCAGCUUCCGUCGGCUGCCUUCGUUAGCGUUUAGAUCUACUCGGAUUAGCAGUUGGCUUGCCCUGAAAAAUGCGUUUGUUCUGCUGAGAUCUGAAUUUAAAGUUAUCCCAAGGAGGAAAAACUAAGCUCCUAAAGGCGCAUCUAAAAUAUCUUCUCCCUUUGGGAACUUUGCGGUGUAUGUAUGGAGUAGGUAGUAGUUACGGAGACUUAGUUUUUAAUUUUUAAUUGAAAAAUGCUACCUUUGAAGGUCUUAAAAUACUUGAAUAUUUUUCUCAUUUAAAACAUUUUCUCUGAGAAGCACAGGAAUAGUUUUUUUUUUUUUGUUGAUCACAAAAGCACUAGGAAUUGUUAAUAUUUGUAGUCUGUUUGCCAAAUGCUAUUAUUGGUAUUCUGAGGAUAAAAAUGGAAAUAUAAUAUUGUAAUAAUUUUAAAAUUUUUAUUAAAAUAUAGAUUUUAAAUUAUAU
rnacentral:lncRNA from 1 species